rnacentral:rRNA from 1 species
UACGUAGGGUGCAAGCGUUGUCCGGAAUUAUUGGGCGUAAAGAGCUCGUAGGCGGUUUGUCACGUCGGCCGUGAAAACUCGGGGCUCAACCCCGAGCCUGCGGUCGAUACGGGCAGACUAGAGCGCUGUAGGGGAGACUGGAAUUCCUGGUGUAGCGGUGAAAUGCGCAGAUAUCAGGAGGAACACCGGUGGCGAAGGCGGGUCUCUGGGCAGUAACUGACGCUGAGGAGUGAAAGCGUGGGGAGCGAACAGG